AAGGUUCGUGUGUUAGAUGGGCGCCAGGGGCCGGCAGUGGGAAGCAGGGAGGGGUUUUUGGGGGCCUUUGGGAACAUGGAGUCCUAUCCUGUUCCGCCUGGGGCCUCGGUAGCGGCUUGCACGCCCCAAGAUGACGGCCGCUGCCCUAGGCUGGGCCGGCGGGCGCUUGCGCGUGUCCUGCUCCUCGUAGGCCCGGGACCGGCGGAUGGGUGUCGGGGUGACCAGGCCUGAGCUCCCUAUUUCUCCUCAGUGACAUCGUCUUUAAACCCUGCGUGGCAAUCCCUGACGCACCGCCGUGAUGCCCAGGGAAGACAGGGCGACCUGGAAGUCCAACUACUUCCUUAAGAUCAUCCAACUAUUGGAUGAUUAUCCGAAAUGUUUCAUCGUGGGAGCAGACAAUGUGGGCUCCAAGCAGAUGCAGCAGAUCCGCAUGUCCCUUCGCGGGAAGGCCGUGGUGCUGAUGGGCAAGAACACCAUGAUGCGCAAGGCCAUCCGAGGGCACCUGGAAAACAACCCAGCUCUGGAGAAGUCAGUUCCCCUGGCAGUCCUUUCUCCCCAGUGCCCGUCUCCCUCUUCCUGGAGAAUGGUGCUGAAAGGUGAUUGUCUCCCAUAAACUUGUUUGCAGACUGCUGCCUCAUAUCCGGGGGAAUGUGGGCUUUGUGUUC
rnacentral:sRNA from 1 species